AAACCGAAUUCCUGGGAAUCAUUUCUCCCCACAGCGGUAACUCGGGGCUACCAGAUGCUCCUCCCAGAGCAGUCACCAGGUACAGGAGGUUUGGGGCACACCUGGGAACCCCACCGUCCCCCUCAUGCUGUACAUUCAACACAACCGCUUCCUGCGCUCCCAGCCCAGACUCACAACUGAAUUCAAAUGGAACCUCUGAUGGGUAAGUGGAAGACUCUUCCACAUUUUCCCAGCUUUUCUUCACCCAUAGGGCAGUGAGCCUAAAAUGUAUCUCAACUGUGGCCAAAAGCAAAAGAAAAUCAAAAAUGUUCAAAGCAUUUUAAAA